rnacentral:rRNA from 1 species
CACGUAGUUAGCCGGUGCUUAUUCUUACGGUACCGUCAUCAGCCCCAGGUAUUAGCCAGAGCCUUUUCGUUCCGUACAAAAGCGGUUUACAACCCGAAGGCCUUCUUCCCGCACGCGGCAUUGCUGGAUCAGGCUUGCGCCCAUUGUCCAAAAUUCCCCACUGCUGCCUCCCGUAGGAGUCUGGGCCGUGUCUCAGUCCCAGUGUGGCUGGUCGUCCUCUCAGACCAGCUACAGAUCGUCGGCUUGGUAGGCCUUUACCCCACCAACUACCUAAUCUGACAUCGGCCGCUCCAGAGGCGCGAGGCCAAACAUUGCUGCUUGGUCCCCCGCUUUCAUCCUCAGAUCACAUGCGGUAUUAGCACAGCUUUCGCUGCGUUAUCCCCCACCUCUGGGCACGUUCCGAUGCAUUACUCACCCGUUCGCCACUCGUCAGCACCCGAAGGCCUGUUACCGUUCGACUUGCAUGUGUAAAGCAUGCCGCCAGCGUUCAAU